rfam:Zea mays cultivar B73 chromosome 1, whole genome shotgun sequence.
AUACUUUUCUCAGCCUUUUGGCUAAGACAAGAUAUAAUAUUUAUUCUUAUCAGUUUAAUAUAAUAUGUGAAUCAUAUGUUCACUCUGAUAUUAUUUUUUUUUAUUUUAUAAGUAGCAAAUAUGAUUGUGUGUUGUCGCUAUUAGUGAUGGCAACGGGGAAUUUCCCGUCUGGGACAUCCCCGUCCCCAU